rnacentral:misc_RNA from 1 species
UCGGGAUAUUGAUUUUUUUGCUGUAAAAAGCAAAAAGAUUAUUCCUUUGACCCUUUUUUGUUUAUUCAAAAAAAUGUUAUUUCUUCGGUGAGACGUCUUUUUUGAUCAAAUCAAAAAGCUAUUGAUAUUUUGUUUUACUCAAACAAAUAUGAAUAUGUUGCUUACCGAAGUACAAACUCUUUUUUCUUGUCUGUCUGAGUAUACAAACAAAUAAAUUA